rnacentral:rRNA from 1 species
UGAGGAAUAUUGGUCAAUGGACGAGAGUCUGAACCAGCCAAGUAGCGUGCAGGAUGACGGCCCUAUGGGUUGUAAACUGCUUUUGUUUGGGAAUAAUCGACAUUACGUGUAAUGUUUUGCAUGUACCAUUCGAAUAAGGACCGGCUAAUUCCGUGCCAGCAGCCGCGGUAAUACGGAAGGUCCAGGCGUUAUCCGGAUUUAUUGGGUUUAAAGGGAGCGUAGGCUGUUUGUUAAGCGUGUUGUGAAAUGUAAGAGCUCAACUUUUAGAUUGCAGCGCGAACUGGCAGACUUGAGUGCGCACAACGUAGGCGGAAUUCAUGGUGUAGCGAUGAAAUGCUUAGAUAUCAUGACGAACUCCGAUUGCGAAGGCAGCUUACGGGAGCGCAACUGACGCUAAAGCUCGAAGGUGCGGGUAUCGAACAGG